GGACGAACGCUGGCGGCGUGCUUAACACAUGCAAGUCGAACGGGGCGAAGUGAUAGCUUGCUAUUAUGGAGCCUAGUGGCAAACGGGUGAGUAACGCGUAGGCAACCUGCCCUUCAGAUGGGGACAACACCUCGAAAAGGGGGUGCUAAUACCGAAUGAUGUUUCCGAGUCGCAUGACCUGGAAACCAAAGGCCGGGCAACCGGUCACUGAAGGAUGAGCCUGCGUCUGAUUAGCUAGUUGGUGGGGUAACGGCCCACCAAGGCGACGAUCAGUAGCCGGUCUGAGAGGAUGAACGGCCACAUUGGGACUGAGACACGGCCCAAACUCCUACGGGAGGCAGCAGUGGGGAAUAUUGCACAAUGGGGGAAACCCUGAUGCAGCGACGCCGCGUGAACGAAGAAGUAUUUCGGUAUGUAAAGUUCUAUCAGCAGGGAAGAUAAUGACGGUACCUGACUAAGAAGCACCGGCUAAAUACGUG
rnacentral:rRNA from 1 species